rnacentral:rRNA from 1 species
UACGUAGGGACCAAGCGUUGUUCGGAUUUACUGGGCGUAAAGGGCGCGUAGGCGGCAAUUCAAGUCAUCUGUGAAAUCUCCGGGCUUAACUCGGAACGGUCAGAUGAUACUGCUUUGCUAGAGUGCGGAAGGGGCAAUCGGAAUUCUCGGUGUAGCGGUGAAAUGCGUAGAUAUCGAGAGGAACACCUGAGGUGAAGACGGGUUGCUGGGCCGACACUGACGCUGAGUGCGCGAAAGCCAGGGGAACGAACGGG